rnacentral:ncRNA from 1 species
CAGAGUAGAAUCCUGCGCGUGGCACCCAUUAUGGUGUACAGUGCCGUCUGAACGGGGAGUUGUCAGACGGACGAAACGGGCCUAGUCCCUGCGGUUCAGGAUUCGCAUCCCGCUG